rnacentral:tRNA from 1 species
CCGCCCUUAGCUCAGCUGGAUAGAGCGUUGCCCUCCGGAGGCAAAGGUCAGUGGUUCGAAUCCACUAGGGCGGGCCA